GCAAGCGUUGUUCGGAAUUACUGGGCGUAAAGCGCUCGUAGGCGGUUUGUCGCGUCUGCUGUGAAAACCUAAGGCUCAACCUUGGGCUUGCAGUGGGUACGGGCAGACUAGAGUGCGGUAGGGGUGACUGGAAUUCCUGGUGUAGCGGUGGAAUGCGGAGAUAUCAGGAGGAACACCGAUGGCGAAGGCAGGUCACUGGGCAUUAACUGACGCUGAGGAGCGAAAGCAUGGGGAGCGAACAGG
rnacentral:rRNA from 1 species